rnacentral:tRNA from 1 species
UCCCUCCUGGUCCAGUGGUUAAGACUCUGCGCUCCCAAUGCAGGGGACACAGGUCCAAACCCUGAUUGGGGAA